rnacentral:rRNA from 1 species
GACGAACGCUGGCGGCGUGCUUAACACAUGCAAGUCGAACGGAAAGGCCCUGCUUUUGUGGGGUGCUCGAGUGGCGAACGGGUGAGUAACACGUGAGUAACCUGCCCUUGACUUUGGGAUAACUUCAGGAAACUGGGGCUAAUACCGGAUAUGAGCUCCUGCUGCAUGGUGGUGGUUGGAAAGUUUCGGCGGUUGGGGAUGGACUCGCGGCUUAUCAGCUUGUUGGUGGGGUAGUGGCGUACCAAGCCUUUGACGGGUAGCCGGCCUGAGAGGGUGACCGGCCACAUUGGGACUGAGAUACGGCCCAGACUCCUACGGGAGGCAGCAGUGGGGAAUAUUGCACAAUGGGCGGAAGCCUGAUGCAGCAACGCCGCGUGCGGGAUGACGGCCUUCGGGUUGUAAACCGCUUUCGCCUGUGACGAAGCGUGAGUGACGGUAAUGGGUAAAGAAGCACCGGCUAACUACGUG